rnacentral:lncRNA from 1 species
CCGCCACAGCCCCACGCCCCAACCCCCUCGGACAUGACCCUAACCACCCAUUACCGCCCACAGCCACAACUACACGCAAAAAAUAGGGAAGUAAAAGGAUAUAGCCGGUGGCAAUAUCCAAGCAGCAGCCAGGAGAUACAAGGCACACACACGUUGACGGGACUACUCCCGAAGCAAAACUAAGCAGCGACCGCCGCAACAGCAACAACAGUCAACAGACAAUGUUCACAAUAUGAAAUAUGAGAUAACGAACUAAAAUGCGAUAUGAAAUAUGAGAUAACGAACUAAAAUGCAAUAUGAACUAACGAAAUAAUGAAAUAAUGAAAUAACAAAGGUUAGAAGUCACCGGAUUUCGCUUGGGGCUGCGGCUGAGGACGACGGCGUGGCGGGUGCAGGCGGGGUCUCGGCCUGUUGGAGCCC